rnacentral:rRNA from 1 species
CGGACGGGUGAGUAAUGUCUGGGAAACUGCCCGAUGGAGGGGGAUAACUGCUGGAAACGGUAGCUAAUACCGCAUAACGUCGCAAGACCAAAGAGGGGGACCUUCGGGCCUCUUGCCAUCGGAUGUGCCCAGAUGGGAUUAGCUAGUAGGUGGGGUAACGGCUCACCUAGGCGACGAUCCCUAGCUGGUCUGAGAGGAUGACCAGCCACACUGGAACUGAGACACGGUCCAG